rnacentral:ncRNA from 1 species
CCUUGGGGUGGCUUAAAGUGCCUGAGAUCUCUUAACAGAGGGACCCAAUGAACCUGAUCCAGUUAAUGCUGGCGUAGGGACAGGCAGAGC